GAUGAACGCUGGCGGCGUGCCUAAUACAUGCAAGUCGAACGAACCACUCCGGUGGUGAGCGGCGAACGGGUGAGUAACACGUAGGUGAUCUGCGCAUCAGACGGGGACAACGAUUGGAAACGAUCGCUAAUAACGGAUAGGACGCAAGUUCUAAGGACCUUAAAGACUUGACUUAGCAAUGGACCUGCGUUGCAUUAGCUAGUUGGAGAGGUAAGAGCUCACCAAGGCGACGAUGCAUAGCCGACCUGAGAGGGUGAUCGGCCACACUGGAACUGAGAUACGGUCCAGACUCCUACGGGAGGCAGCAGUAGGGAAUUUUCCACAAUGGACGGAAGUCUGAUGGAGCAACGCCGCGUGUGCGAAGAAGGUUUUCGGAUUGUAAAGCACUGUUGUAAGGGAAGAAUAAAAUAUAGAGGAAAUGCUAUAGAGAUGACGGUACCUUACCAGAAAGCCACGGCUAACUACGUGCCAGCAGCCGCGGUAA
rnacentral:rRNA from 1 species